rnacentral:rRNA from 1 species
UACGUAGGGUGCAGGCGUUAAUCGGAAUUACUGGGCGUAAAGCGUGCGCAGGCGGUUUGCUAAGAGAGAUGUGAAAUCCCCGGGCUUAACCUGGGAACUGCGUUUCUAACUGGCAGGCUUGAGUGUGGCAGAGGGGGGUGGAAUUCCGACGUGUAGCAGUGAAAUGCGUAGAGAUGUGGAGGAACACCGAUGGCGAAGGCAGCCCCCUGGGCUAACACUGACGCUCAUGCACGAAAGCGUGGGGAGCAAACAGG